GACGAACGCUGGCGGCGCGCUUAACACAUGCAAGUCGAGCGAGAACCAGGCCUUCGGGCCUGGGGACAGCGGCGAACGGGUGAGUAACACGUGGGUAAUCAACCCUCGAUACUGGGAUAGCCCGGGGGAACCCGGAUUAAUACCGGAUGGCCCUUUGGAUCCUCGGAUCUGACGGAAAAGGUAGCUUCGGCCUCCGAUCGAGGACGAGCCCGCGGCGGAUUAGCUUGUUGGUGAGGUAACGGCCCACCAAGGCGACGAUCCGUAGCUGGUCUGAGAGGACGAUCAGCCACACUGGGACUGAGACACGGCCCAGACUCCUACGGGAGGCAGCAGUGGGGAAUCUUGCGCUAAUGCGGGAAACCGUGACGCAGCGACG
rnacentral:rRNA from 1 species